UAACUGGGAUCAUGUGAGCUUCAGUAAUCGCUGAGGGCUGGUGUAUAUAAAUAGAAACGUGUCGCAAAACAUCCAUUUUCCAUCCAGACCCUUCUGUCCUUCCUUCAUGGUAUUUCCUGCGAGAUAUUUGACGACACAGAUUUCUGCCAUAAAUCACUGGAGGCCUGUCAGCGAAGCGCUUUGAGGUGCUUUUGCACUCCUAACCUGUUGUCUCCUGUUUAUGAGGUAGUGAAAAAGCAGGAGUUUUAGUACGUAGAGCACCUGUCUGUUUAAAAUCACUUAAACAUAGCCUUGUUGUUUUCUUUUGCAAACAUAACUGAUAUAUAAGAUGUUUUUUCCCCUCAAGGAAAUGUACAUAAAAUAUUAAGAAUUGUUUUCAGAGAAUAUAUAGUGAAUUAUGUGUUCUUAUCCCAUUGGCAGAUUGUUUUAUCUUGAUUGUUUUGACUUGUUUUAAGCACAAAUCUGGCAAAACUUGAAAAAAAUAUUUGCCAAAAUAAACUUAAUUCAAGAUAAAUGAUCUAAAAACAACUACUGUUCCAACGUUUGGGUUAGAUAGAUUUUUUUAAAUGAUCAAAUAUGUAUCUUAUGCUUCUCAAAUUUGCAUUUAUAUGACCAAAAAUACAAACAGUAAUAAUGUGAAAUAAUAUUACAAUCAAAUUUUCUAUUUGAAUAUAUUUUAAAAUGUAAUUUAUUCCUGUGAUCAAAGUUGAAUUUUCAGAAUAAUUACUUCAGUUUUAAGUGUCACAUAAACCUUCACAAAUCAUAUAAUAUAGUGAUUUUGUUUAUUAUUAUCAAUGUUGAAAACAGUUGUGCCAGUUCAUAUUUUUGUGGAAACCAAGAUGCAGUUUUAUCAUGAUUUGUUGAUAAAAAAUAAAUAAAUAGCAUUUAUUUGAAAUAAAUCUGAAUUUUGAUUAAUUUAAUGCAUUGUUGAUGAAUAAAAUUCUGAAUUUCUUUUUUUUUUUUAAUCAUACUUUUAACCCCUACUAACCUUUGAACAAUAGUUUAUGUAAUUAAUAUAUUAAUGUUUUAAAUGGAUUACACUGUUUUGUAAUAUGCAAUGCUUAUAAUGUUGUUUGUAUAUUUUAUAUUUUAUUGAAAAACA
ensembl:lncRNA